UCUCCGUUGGUGAACCAGCGGAGGGAUCAUUACAGAGUUGAAAAACUCCAACCCCUGUGAACCUACCUUUACUGUUGCUUCGGCGGACGAUGGCCCCCCGGGCCGGAAGCCGCCGGAGGUUACAAACCCUGAAUUUUAGUGUAUCUCUGAGGAUGAAAAAAAACCAAUUAAAACUUUCAACAACGGAUCUCUUGGCUCUG
rnacentral:misc_RNA from 1 species